GAUAGCGAAGGCAGCUUACCAGCCUGUAACUGACGCUGAUGCACGAUAGCGUGGGUAGCAAACAGGAUUAGAUACCCUGGUAGUCCACGCCGUAAACUAUGCUCACUGAUUCUAUGCAAUAUGAUCGUAUGGGAUUCAGCGAAAGUGUUAAUUGAGCCACCUGGGGAGUACGUCGGCAACGAUGAAACUCAAAGGAAUUGACGGGGGCCCGCACAAGCGGAGGAACAUGUGGUUUAAUUCGAUGAUACGCGAGGAACCUUACCCGGGUUUAAAUGUUGAAUGACAUGAAAUGAAAGUUUUUUUCUCUUCGGAGCAUUUUUCAAGGUGCUGCAUGGUUGUCGUCAGCUCGUGCCGUGAGGUGUCGGGUUAAGUCCCCUAACGAGCGCAACCCCUAUCUUUAGUUGCCAUCAGGUCGAGCUGGGCACUCUAACGAGACUGCCACCGUAAGGUGAGAGGAAGGCGGGGAUGACGUCAAAUCAGCACGGCCCUUACACCCGGGGCUACACACGUGUUACAAUGGCCGAAACAGAGGGUUGCUACUUAGUGAUAAGAUGCUAAUCUCCAAACUCGGUCUUAGUUCGGAUUGGAGUCUGUAACUCGACUCCAUGAAGUUGGAUUCGCUAGUAAUCGCGCAUCAGCCAUGGCGCGGUGAAUACGUUCCCGGGCCUUGUACACACCGCCCGUCAAGCCAUGGAAUCCGGGGGUGCCUGAAGUUCGUGACCGCAAGGAGCGACCUAGGGCAAAACCGGUAACUGGGGCU
rnacentral:rRNA from 1 species